CCUACGGGAGGCAGCAGUGAGGAAUAUUGGUCAAUGGACGCGAGCCUGAACCAGCCAUGUAGCGUGAAGGAUGACUGCCCUAUGGUUUGUAAACUUCUUCUAUCUGGGAGUAAAAUUCUCCGCUUGUGAGCUUUUGUAUUUACAUUAUGAACAAGGAUCGGCUAACUCCGUGCCAGCCGCCGCGGUAAUACGGAGGAUCCGAGCGUUAUCCGGCUUUAUGGGGUUUAAAGGGAACGUAGGUGGAUUGUUAAGUCAGUUGUGAAAGUUUGCGGCUCAACCGUAAAAUUGCAGUUGAUACUGGUAGUCUAGAGUACAGUAGAGGUGGGCGGAAUUCGAUGUGUAGCGGUGAAAUGCUUAGAUAUGACGAAGAAUACCGAUUGCGAAGGCAGUUCACUGGACUACAACUGACGCUGAGGCACGAAAGUGUGGGGAUCAAACAGGAUUAGAUACCCGUGUAGUC
rnacentral:rRNA from 1 species